rnacentral:rRNA from 1 species
GGACUACAGGGGUAUCUAAUUCAGUUCGCUCCCCACGCUUUCGCGCCUCAGCGUCAGGGACAGCCCAGAAGGCCGCCUUCGCCACCGGUGUUCCUCCGGAUCUCUACGCAUUUCACCACUACACCCGGAAUUCCACCUUCCUCUACUGCCCUCGGAGUCGGGCGGUCUUGGGCGACCUACGCGGGUUAAGCCCGCACCUUUCACGCCCAACCUGCCCGACCGCCUACGCGCCCUUUACGCCCAGUAAAUCCGGACAACGCUCGCCCCCUACGUAUUACCGCGGCUGCUGGCAC